rnacentral:tRNA from 1 species
GUCGUCGUGGCCGAGUGGUUAAGGCGACAGACUAGAUAUCUGUUGGGCUCUGCCCGCACAGAUUCGAUUCCUGUCGGCGACG